rnacentral:rRNA from 1 species
CCCUUAGAUGUUCUGGGCCGCACGCGCGCUACACUGACGAAUGCAACGAGCUUAUAACCUUGGCCGAAAGGUCUGGGUAAUCUCCAAAUUUCGUCGUGAUGGGGAUAGAUUAUUGCAAUUAUUAAUCUUCAACGAGGAAUGCCUAGUAAGCGCAAGUCAUCAGCUUGCGUUGAUUACGUCCCUGCCCUUUGUACACACCGCCCGUCGCUACUACCGAUUGAACGUUUUAGUGAGGUAUUUGGACUGGACCUUCGGAGGUUCGCGCCUCCGUUGCUGUUCGGGAAGACUCCCAAACUUGAGCGUUUAGAGGAAGUAAAANUCGUAACA